rfam:Nematostella vectensis strain CH2 x CH6 NEMVEscaffold_486_Cont28486, whole genome shotgun sequence.
GUUGCGGUGGCCGAGUGGUUAAGGCGUUGGACUCGAAAGCCAAUUGGAUCUUCCCGCGCAGGUUCGAAUCCUGCCCGCAACG